UACGUAGGGUGCGAGCGUUGUCCGGAAUUAUUGGGCGUAAAGAGCUCGUAGGCGGUGUGUCGCGUCGGCCGUGAAAACCUGCAGCUUAACUGUGGGCUUGCGGUCGAUACGGGCAUCACUGGAGUUCGGCAGGGGAGACUGGAAUUCCUGGUGUAGCGGUGAAAUGCGCAGAUAUCAGGAGGAACACCGGUGGCGAAGGCGGCGUGCUGGACCCCACCUGACGCUGAGGCGCGAAAGCCAGGGGAGCGAACGGG
rnacentral:rRNA from 1 species